rnacentral:rRNA from 1 species
UACGAAGGGGGCUAGCGUUGCUCGGAAUCACUGGGCGUAAAGCGCACGUAGGCGGCUUUCUAAGUCAGGGGUGAAAUCCUGGAGCUCAACUCCAGAACUGCCUUUGAUACUGAGAGCUUGAGUCCGGAAGAGGUGAGUGGAACUCCGAGUGUAGAGGUGAAAUUCGUAGAUAUUCGGAAGAACACCAGUGGCGAAGGCGGCUCACUGGUCCGGUACUGACGCUGAUGUGCGAAAGCGUGGGGAGCAAACAGG